rnacentral:misc_RNA from 1 species
GAAAUGCGAUAAGUAGUGUGAAUUGCAGAAUUCAGUGAAUCAUCGAAUCUUUGAACGCACAUUGCGCUUCCUGGUAUUCCGGGGAGCACGCCCGUUCCAGAAUCAAUAAUAAUCUCACCCGUUUCGGUGCUUGGCACUCAACUGAGGUGGACCUGGAUUUUUGCUUCGGCAAUCGUCUGAAAUUGAUUGUGUGUGCACCAAUUGCUCGGUCUCUUGGUUGUCCAAGUGCAACAGAUUUAUCUAUUCGCUUGGGCAGUCCGGUGACUGCCUCAAUGCGCAUUCUCAUUUCAUUUUACGGAACUCGAAUCUGAUGAUGGCAGUUCUGAUCACUUGAUCUGGAAUCGGGCGGGAAAACCCGCUGAACUUAA